UAAAAAACUCAGGAUGCUAUUCUAGUGCUUCCUCUGCUUAAAAAUAGCUUCCCUUGACUCGCUGAUGUUUGUUGCCUCUAAUAGGAACCGGUCACCCAUGGAGCACAGCAGCACUGUAUGGAACACAUCCACCACGUGAACUCUUGUGAAACAGGGCUUGCACCCACACGGAACACCCCAGGGCCAGGAGGGGAGCCCAGCCCUGCCCAGCCCUUUCUGCUGAGUCCAGCCCUGCUCUGCCCAGCAUUAUGGGGGUGUAUCUGACCCUUCUAUAUGUCAUGCCAAAAUCUCAGAGGCGCACUGGAACACUGAGCUGCACAGGCCAGCAGUGGCCGUGGAAAUAAGUGGUUUUAAAUCCAUUUGCAAGUGUUGUCAUCUGGCUUUAAAUCAAGACGCCUUGAUGCUGCCACCUCCCACAAGGCAGCAACCAAAGCCUUCCCCGCGUGCCUCCCACCCAUGGGCUCAGAAGGGAACUGAGGGGCAGCUAUGGUGGCACCAGCAUCCUGGUACAGGGCCACCAUCACAGCCCCGUGCUGGGUGCUGCCUCUGCUCAUGCCUUUGCCCAACCUGGGGAAAGCUGGGGCAACACUAAGUCAGGAGGGGUUUGCUGUCCUGGGUGACACAGUUUGACCGGCGAGGGGACGACAGCGUGGUAUGGGGACAAAAUUGAUGGCAACAACCAUGGAGCUGCAAGAAGAGUUUCAGUGGCGUUUGGUGGGGCUCCUCCCCAACGUUUGGGAGCGGAGUGGGGAGAUGCACCAGGCCCUGUCACGGCGGGAUGGAGAAGCGCCCAGUGCAGAACCAGGCACUGCCACGAGGCGACGGAGAAGAACCCAACGCAGAGACCCAAAGUGACAGAAAGCCAGAGCAAAACCUCACCCCGCAGCAGGCAACGACCAUCCCAAAGACCAAAGGGGGGCCAGCCCUGCAUGCUCCCCAUCCGGGCUGACCGCGCAGGCGACACCGGCACUGGGCCCCUCGUGUGUGGCACCGUCCCCGUCGGCGUUCGCAGGCCGUACCCGGCUGAUUCCUGGCAGCUGUGAGCGACGCCUGUGCCGGCCGUCACGUCCCAUUCCGCUCCUCGGGCCGCCCGGUGAGAGAAGGACACAGGAUGCGCCGGGAGUGAAAGAGCGAGGUCGGCAGGGAGCGUGCCAAGUCCCCUCGCACAGCUCCGGGCCGCUCGGGGAGCCAGAGGGAAACUCGCCUUUGCAGAGUUCAGAGGCCGGCAGCGAGAUUUAUUUUUGUUUGUGCACCGAAUCACGUCCACCCACAGCCCCUAACCCGGCUGCGGUUCCCUGGGCCGGGACUUCUCCCAGGAGCUCGGCAGGAGCCGGAGGUGGCUCCCCCGGCUGCCCCAGCUGGUGGCAGCACUGAGAUCACACACUCCCGUUCGCACAGUCCCAAAUUCCCAACUCAUCCAUCAGCUGGAAUCACCUGGGGGAUUCCCCGGAAGCCGGCUGCCUGGCCGAGGGAUUCAAGUUCGAGAAGGGGACCGUUCCUCACCAUGCACAAACCGCGAGGCCGCAUUUCCUGCGAUGCCACAGCGGAGAGAUGUCCGCUGGGAACACAGCACGGGCUUUGCGCUGGACGCCUGAGCAAUGCCAGGCUGCCAGACAGACCAGGAGACGCAGCCCCGUAGGGCUGGGUGUGGGAUGGGUCACCUGGGUUGACACCGCCGUGCCACGGCUGUCACCACCGUGCCACCGCCUCUGCUGCCCGAGCCUCCAUCUGCAGCGGGACAACCGGGCGCUGCUGCCCGCUGGGUCCCCGUGCACUCGGAGGGGACAAGAGGUGAAUUUUCCAGGAGCUGAAAACAAUGCCUCCUUCGCAUCUCGCUCCAAAGGUUUCCUCCUCCCAACGUUCGUCCGCAGCAGCGUCUUCCUCAGGAGUGAACGUGCCCCGUGCCUGGUAGCAAGCCGGGGCCGCCGCCGUGGCGGAGCCGCCGUGGGUGGGUGUGCGUCUUCCGCAGCCGGCAGGCACCCGAUCCCAGGCAGGUGCGUGUCAGCGCGUGUGCACCGCAGCAUUGUUCCUGCGCCAGGAGCAGAGCGUGAAUGGGAUGCGGCUAUAUUUAGCGGGUUACUCACAGCACCGCCACAAAGGAGCGGCUGCAUCUUAAGGGGGCGGCCGUUCCGUGGGCUCAGAAGGGACAGGAGCGGGGCUAUUUUGGGAAGACAUGUCAUAAUUGGCCGCCCGGUUAAGCUGCUUCUGUAAUGCUCAGCAAAACAAUAGCAGCAUCCAGAGGAAGAGCCUGUUAUGUUUCAGGUGGGAUGUUUUCAACCGUUCAGGAAACUCGACCGCUCCCAGCGCACAGCAGAGGCACAAAGGACAGGGGACACCGAGCAUCGCGGACCGAGGGCCAUGCCAAGCGUGGGGGUGGAUGGAGGCACAGGACGUGGCCUAGCUCCACCUGCCUGCCCGGCCUCCCUGCAAGCCCCAGCCAGGCAGCAAAGGGCUGCCCGUUGCAAAGAGGGCUGCAAAAGGCUGAGAUCUAAAGCCAUUCUACCCCAUCUCAUCUGCUCAGUGUGAUGUUCUGGAGCUGAGCUCUCUCUGCUGGCCCCAACGGGCCACCCCUAUUUACUAUUCACUCUGCCUGGACCCAUGCUUCCCACCAGCUUGAGCAAGUCAAGCCAGAGCAGUGAGAGAAACACAAUAAAGCCUCAAUCUGCAGCAAUGACCACAGUAAUGUCAGUGUUUUGGAGCCACAAGAAGGACAAGUAGGGCUGCCUGGCCAGCACAGAGUCUGGGACAAGCAGUGGGUAGAUGUUCCAUACUGGUGGCUCAGGUGGGCAGCAAGAGGAGGUGAGCACAGUGAAGGGAAGAAGGCAGUGGCCAAAAACCCAUCAGAGAGAAGGUGGAAAGAAGCACAGCUCUGCAGGGUGCAGAUGAGGCCAACACACCACGCUCCCUAUGGGCACACCAAACCCUGCCAAGGGAUGGCACAGGGAUGUCAGUGGGAAACCUCAGAGGUAUCAAAACACCCAGGAAGAGAACGAGUAGCCAAAAGAUGGAGGCUUCUCCCUGAAACCUGCACUACCAGGCUCUGCAGGAGGCUCUGGGGUGCCUGGGCUCUCUGGGCCGUGACCCCAUCAGUGCACACAGAUGAGCACAGAGAGCUGAGGGUCAUGGCUGUGCUAACACAGGAGCUGCAUCUGCUGGACUCCAGUGAAUACAUGGGACUGCAGCUCAUCCCCUGAGUAAUGAAAGGGGGAACUGGAGAGCAGCCAGUGCGAGAAUCCCAGAGAAGAGCAAGAGCUACAGGAUGAAACCUAGAAGGCAGCAGGUCCCAGGAAGCACAAAUCCCGCAAGAAAACCAGAGACCCACAGGUCAAGGCAGGGAGAUCCGAGGGGUGCGGUGCAGGGUUGGCUUCAGCCUGGCCUCCCCAUCCCAGCUCUGGGCCGCACACAUGUUCUGCUGCGGGCUGUUCCCAGCCAGCCGUGGCCUGGCUGACUUUAGCAAAGCCCCCAAGGACUUUUCUCCUCCACCCAGGCUCCGACUGCACCUCAGCUCUCAGCUGUGCAGCCCCCGAAGCUGCCCACACCCUCGUGUUGACCUCUCUCUGCCUGCGAGAGGAGGCUCAGGAGGAAGGGAGGAGUGGGCCGGGGAGAAAAGCCCCUGACACAUCAGGCAGCCCCCACGUUCCCCGCAGAAGGGGCAGCGGCCAUCCCGGGGGCCCCGGCGCAGCUGGGCCGGGAUCUGCAUGCACUGCCCUCCCCGAACAUGUGCAGUUCCUGUUUGCUGUGUCUGUACAAGGCGGUGGGAAGUGGGGAAUUUACUUACACCUCCCGCUUAACAACCCUGGGAGGCUGGAAGGCUUCAGGCCGCUUUAAUUUACAGCCCAUCUCUCCAAUCUCUCACUCAUUCGCUGCUGCUUUCUUCCUUAUUGUAUUAAUGUGACCCAGGUACCUGCCAACAAUAAUGGACUCGCUUGCGGGGGCGGCCCCUCCCUCCCGGCACAAUUUAUACCUUUGCCUUGAUAAGAAUUUCUCGAAAUUCAAAUGCAAAUUA